rnacentral:rRNA from 1 species
GAUGAACGCUGGCGGCGUGCCUAAUACAUGCAAGUCGAGCGAACAGACGAGGAGCUUGCUCCUCUGACGUUAGCGGCGGACGGGUGAGUAACACGUGGAUAACCUACCUAUAAGACUGGGAUAACUUCGGGAAACCGGAGCUAAUACCGGAUAACAUGUUGAACCGCAUGGUUCAACAGUGAAAGACGGUCUUGCUGUCACUUAUAGAUGGAUCCGCGCCGCAUUAGCUAGUUGGUAAGGUAACGGCUUACCAAGGCAACGAUGCGUAGCCGACCUGAGAGGGUGAUCGGCCACACUGGAACUGAGACACGGUCCAGACUCCUACAGGAGGCAGCAGUAGGGAAUCUUCCGCAAUGGGCGAAAGCCUGACGGAGCAACGCCGCGUGAGUGAAGAAGGUCUUCGGAUCGUAAAACUCUGUUAUUAGGGAAGAACAAAUGUGUAAGUAACUAUGCACGUCUUGACGGUACCUAAUCAGAAAGCCACGGCUAACUACGUG